AAGAAGUGCCAGAAACGGAGCACACGUGAGAAGCCAGGCUGCAGUGCUGGACAAAUGCAUAGACACACUUGAAUCCUGCCAGUGAAGCACUUGUCCCUUGCCUUGGCAAGAUAUGGCAUGCCCAGAGAGGAAUAUACUUGUGCCUGUGCCAGAGCUGUAAUCAUCAUGUGGGUUCCCAGCGUGUCUCAACACUCCGAGCUGAGCCCUGUUUUGAAGGAGUAUUAAGAUAUAUUUUGAUUCUGUUUCGAGGCAAUGUCUGCUUGCAAGUGCUGCAGAAGGACAAACAGGAGAGUAUUCUGCUGUUAUUUAACACACCGAGGUGUUUCUUAACACGUAGGCUGAAGGCUGCAGGCUCAUUGUCGGUGAAUAGGAAAUUCUGAAAAGCAGUAGGAUCAGGUCCCAGCUUUUAAGCUCACUUUAAAUGGAGUUCUGCUAACAGAAAAUGACAGUUUGUGAGCACAGAAGUGGUGAGUGUUUCAGCUGAGAAUGCCAAGAUGCUGCCUCACAGCUUGCAACAGCUGCUAGCAGAGCAAGUCAGGAUCUUUAGUCACAGCUUGCAAAGCUGAAGGCUGAGACUGGCGAAGUGAUGGCUCAUGGUUUACAAGACCUGACAGCCAGCGACCAGUGCUCUGAUGCAGAUUGACCUCGGUGUUCGGUAUUCCCAUCAGGAACUGUGCUAGCAGAUUUUCAGGAAGGAAGCCAGGUUGAAAUUGCCAGUAGUUGAAAUGGACAUUGAAAACUGGGGGCUUCAGCAGCUUAGUGGAAGAUAAGAGUGAACCAUGUCUUAAGAUGACUAUUUUAAACUGUUUUUUUCAUUUCUGUAGAUUGUACAGAGCUGCACCAGCAGAUAAGGACUGUGAGACCUUUUUGCAGCCUGCCAGCCUCCUUAUGGAAAGUGUUAAAAGCCACGUGAGAGAGGUGUAACCAGAAGACUUCAACCUUCCAAGCCAGCAUUUUGGCUUUGAGACUAAGAUAACACACAGGAAAAUCUAUAUGCUGCUGGAAGCAUUCCUAACUGCAUUAGAUCUUCCUUAUCAAUCUAAGCCUGCCUUUGGAAUUGUGCCAUGGAUUCCCAGGCUUGUGUUCAGGAAAUGUUUCUGAUAAUAAUGGCCUUCUGGAAGCACCGUGCUGAAAUCCUGUAUUUCUGAACGUGUGAGUGGUUAGGGAGAGCCCAUCAGCAGUGACCCUUGUUCUGGAGUUGAGAUCCCCAGUGCUG